GAUGAACGCUGGCGGCGUGCCUAAUACAUGCAAGUCGAGCGAAGCGGGGACGGGUGAGUAACACGUGGAUAACCUCCUAUAUGACUGGGAUAACUUCGGGAAACCGGAGCUAAACCGGAUAAUUAUAGAUGGAUCCGGUUUGCAUUAGCUAGUUGGUAAGGUAACGGCUUACCAAGGCAACGAUGCCUAGCCGACCUGAGAGGAUGAUCGGCCACACUGGAACUGAGACACGGGCCAGACUCCUACGGGAGGCAGCAGUAGGGAACCUUCCGCAAUGGGCGAAAGCCUGACGGAGCAACGCCGCGUGUGUGAUGAAGGCCUUCGGGUCGUAAAACUCUUUUAUUAGGGAGGCGGUACCUAAUCAGAAAGCCACGGCUAACUACGUGCCAGCAGCCGCGGUAAUAC
rnacentral:rRNA from 1 species